GAUUAACGCUGGCGGGCGUGCAUGAGACAUGCAAGUCGAACGGGGCGACUCGGGCUUGCUCGAGUCGCUAGUGGCGGACGGCUGAGUAACGCGUAGGUGACUUGCCCUGAAGUGGGGAAUAACUGCCCGAAAGGGUGGCUAAUACCGCAUGUGGUGGUGCGUUCAUUCGCACCAGUAAAGCCGCAAGGCGCUUCAGGAGAGGCCUGCGUCCGAUUAGCUUCGNGGUGGGGGUAACGGCUCACCAAGGCGACGAUCGGUAGGUGGUCUGAGAGGACGAUCACCCAGACUGGGACUGAGACACGGCCC
rnacentral:rRNA from 1 species